rnacentral:lncRNA from 1 species
GGUAGGCAGCAGCAGAAGAAAGGUAUACAGCCUCUUGCUUUAUAUCCCCUUGAAAAUAUCAAAGUGCAAGCAAAAAACACAAAGAGAGGAAACUACAGAAGCCACACGAUAGGAAGAAGCACCACGACUUCGAGCCAGAAAGUUGGGUGUUCAAGUCUUUGUUAUUACUUAUUACAUCUAAUUGAGAUUUCCUGUUUGGUAGUCAAGGAAAGACGAAAAUGAAAGUACCACAUUGUUAGUUCUGACCAAGGUAUUUAAAUUUUUCUUGUUGUUCACAAUGUGAUGUUAAUUUGAAGCCCUGCUUUUUUUUUUUUUUUUAAUGAAGCAUAUCCAUUGUGCAAGAACACGGAUAUGUUCCCUAGAAGCCAAACUAUGUGUAGAAUGCAAGGAGUGUAGUUCGUGUACAUUGCUCAUUCAAAACAAGGUGUAGUAUUUUGUGGCAUCUAAUUGACGUUGUGGCUUGCAACUCAUGGAUGCUUUGGGGGUAUAAUUUAGUUUCUUUUGUGGUAAAUACUUGUGACAGUGCUUUCUUUCUUUUUUUUUUCUUUUUUUAAAAUUUUUAUUACUCAAAUGAAUUUAUCACAUCUGUAGUUGUAUAAUGAUCAUAACAAUCUGAUUUCACAGGAUUUCCAUCCCACAGCCCAGACAGUGCUUUCAUAGCUUAAAUGUUUAAGGGGAAAGUG